rnacentral:rRNA from 1 species
CGGGUGCUAAUACCGCAUAGGAAGUUUAUUCGCAUGAACAAACUUAGAAAGAUGGCUCUGCUAUCACUUAUCGAUGGCCUUGCGGUGCAUUAACUAGUUGGCGAGGUAACGGCUCACCAAGGUGAUGAUGCAUAGCCCGACCCCUGAGAGGGUAAUCGGCCACAUUGGGACUGAGACACGGCCCAAACUCCUACGGGAGGCAGCAGUAGGGAAUCUUCCGCAAUGGACGCAAGUCUGACGGAGCAACGCCGCGUGAGUGAAGAAGGUUUUCGGAUCGUAAAACUCUGUUGUAAGAGAAGAACAAAUUGUAGAGUAACUGCUACAGUCUUGACGGUAUCUUACCAGAAAGCCACGGCUAACUACGUGCCAGCAGCCGCGGUAAU